AAAUCAUUUAAAUUAUUGUCUGAAGUUUAUCAAUUGGAAUGAAAAUGUUGAGGAUCUUAUUUCUGUGUGUUCUGAACUGUCUGAGCUACAAAUAUAAAGGAACUGCCUUAAACUCUUGAAUUUUUAUCAUGAGUAGUUUUUUUAAUCUUCCUGUGAACAUUUUCUUUACUC